rnacentral:rRNA from 1 species
GCAAGUCGAGGGAGAAAUUUGGUGCUUGCACUAAAUGGAAACCGGCGAACGGGUGCGUAACACGUAUGCAACCUACCUAUAACUGGGGCAUAGCCCGAAGAAAUUCGGAUUAAUACCCUAUAAUAUUUACACACCGCAUGGUGAGUAUCUUAAAACUCCGGUGGUUAUAGAUGGGCAUGCGGCUUAUUAGUUUGUUGGUGAGGUAACGGCUCACCAAGACUACGAUGAUUAGCCGGCCUGAGAGGGUGAAC